GACGUAUUUAAAGGGUGAGGAUCAGCUGAGAAGCAGCAGGAUUGGGUCGGUGUCUGACAAGCAUUGAUUUUACCUGGAGAUCACAGCGACUGUGACCAACAUCAGAGCAGAUUCUUCUGGUUCCUCCAUCCUGAAGGUUAGAAGUUGAGCCGACUGCAGGAUUGAAGCAGAUCUACACCAGAGGUUGCAGCGUCUCCCUGUCUGAAGCUGCUGAUAGAGGAGGACAACGCUGACUGAGUGUGAGGACAUCGACUGUAAUCAGCAUGGCAACGUCAUCACCAGAACCCAAUGAAAAAUGUUCAAUGGGUCUUUUGAACAUAAAUGGCCUUAGAAGCAAAAUG